rnacentral:rRNA from 1 species
GUGGGGAAUCUUGCGCAAUGGGCGAAAGCCUGACGCAGCCAUGCCGCGUGAAUGAUGAAGGUCUUAGGAUUGUAAAAUUCUUUCACCGGGGACGAUAAUGACGGUACCCGGAGAAGAAGCUCCGGCUAACUUCGUGCCUGCAGCCGCGGUAAUACGAAGGGGGCUAGCGUUGCUCGGAAUUACUGGGCGUAAAGGGCGCGUAGGCGGACAGCUUAGUCAGAGGUGAAAGCCCAGGGCUCAACCUUGGAAUUGCCUUUGAUACUGGCUGUCUUGAGUUUGGGAGAGGUGAGUGGAACUCCGAGUGUAGAGGUGAAAUUCGUAGAUAUUCGGAAGAACACCAGUGGCGAAGGCGACUCACUGGCCCAAUACUGACGCUGAGGCGCGAAAGCGUGGGGAGCAAACAGGAUUAGAUACCCGGGUAGUCC